rnacentral:rRNA from 1 species
AGAGUUUGAUCAUGGCUCAGGAUAAACGCUGGCGGUGUGCAUUAUGCAUGCAAGUCGAACGAUUCUUCCCGCAAGGGAAGGAUAGUGGCAGACGGGUGAGUAACACGUAAGUAACCUGCCCUUAAGUGGGGAAUAACUUCGGGAAACCGGAGCUAAUACCGCAUGUGAUGGCUUUCUGAUGGAAAGUCAUUAAAGCCGUAAGGCGCUUGAGGAGGGGCUUGCGGCCGAUUAGCUUGUUGGUGGGGUAAAAGCCUACCAAGGCUACGAUCGGUAGCCGGUCUGAGAGGACGAUCAGCCACACUGGGACUGAGAUACGGCCCAGACUCCUACGGGAGGCAGCAGCAAGGAAUUUUGGGCAAUGGGCGAAAGCCUGACCCAGCAACACCGCGUGGGGGAUGACGGCCCUCGGGUUGUAAACCCCUUUUCUCAGGGAAGAAUAAUGACGGUACCUGAGGAAUAAGCUUCGGCGAACUACGUGCCAGCAGCCGCGGUAAUACGUAGGAAGCGAGCGUUAUCCGGAAUUACUGGGCGUAAAGCGCGCGUAGGUGGUCUUUCAAGUCGAAUGUGAAAUUUCACGGCUUAACCGGGAAGGGUCAUUCGAUACUGUUGGACUAGAGAGCGGCAGGGGGAAGCGGAAUUCCCGGUGUAGUAGUGAAAUGCGUAGAUAUCGGGAGGAACACCAGUGGCGAAGGCGGCUUCCUGGGCUGUUUCUGACACUGAGGCGCGAAAGUGUGGGUAGCGAACAGAAUUAGAUACUCUGGUAGUCCACACCGUAAACGAUGGGUACUAGGUAUAGGGAGUAUCGACCCUCUUUGUGCCGAAGCUAACGCUUUAAGUACCCCGCCUGGGGACUACGGCCGCAAGGCUAAAACUCAAAGGAAUUGACGG